UACUCUGAUCAAAUUUUUCAUAUUUGGAUCCCAGCCCUCCUUUAUCUCUUCCUGCCUUUUGAUGAGAAAAUGGUUUAAUUGAGCCUUUUUCAAAACUUAUUUCAGUCAUCAGAGUAGGUUUUGCAAAUCCAGCCAGUGGUGUAGUUGUUGGUUUGAACACAGCUUGAGCUUUGUCAGAGACUGUGUCUUUCUUUGCUUCUUUAUUGACUUGAGCUGUGUCAGAGGUCAAUCUUUCUUUUUGAGGUUCUGCAACAUGAGCUCUGUCAGAGAUUGCAGCUUCUGUUUUCUUUUCCUUCACAACUUGAUCCUUGUCAGAGGUUGUAGAUUUCUUCUUUUCCCAGCCUCUCUCCAGAUGUUCAUCUACUUUGCUUUUACCCUUGGAGGUGUAUUCAUCUUCAGAGUAUACCUUCUUGAUUGGUAAACUCUGAUCAGCAACAGUAGCUUCUUUGAUCAGUAUCCCUUUUUCUUUUGGUCUGGCAGUUGAUUUUGCAGGCUUUUGGAUUUUUCCUGACUUUAUUGCUUCAGCAUGUUCUUUCUUUAGUUCUUCUUCUUCUGCAGCAAUCAACUCCAAAUCCAAAUUUGCUUCUGGAUUUUCUUGUUCAAAAACCAAUCUAGCAAGCUCUUCAUCAGUCAUGGGUUUGUCUGAUCCAGUCACUGGUCUUUGCUUAGAUCCAGAUGUGAUGUUGUGAGUUGGACCAGACUUUGUGCUUUGCUUAGAUUGUUUCUGACUGUCAGAGUUUGAAACUCUUCCACCAGUCCCUGCUUGAAAUCUUUUGUGCUUUGUAAAAUCAUCAGCAUCAUCAUCAUCAUCCUUUUUCUUCCUUUUCAGAGAUUGAGUAGUAGACUUGCAUUUGACUUGAGCUACUCUCUCCCCCUUUUUGACAUCAUCCUCAUCAGGAAUCAGAAUGGAUGUGAUCAGAGAAAGUGAAGUUUGGAUAGCUUCAAGCUGUUUGGACAUCUUUUCUUGAUUGGAUUCAAUCAAGGUCAUCCUUUGGUUAAGAGAUUCAUUUGUAGUGACCAGCUUCUGUACACUUUCUUUCAUAGGAUUGAUGGUCCUUUUCUUUUCCAGGUCAUUUGUCUCCUUGACCUUUGCCACCUCUGUUCUUAGACUAUCUAUGGAUUUAGAUGUCUGGGCAUGAGCAGGAUGAAAUGUCUUCAGAUAUAGAAUUGUGCCCUUGAGGCUUGACAUAACAUCAGAGUUUGUAAUUUUCUUCUCUGCCAUAGCUAAGAACUCUUCAGCUUUAGGUGUUUCCAAGGAGUGCUGGUGACUCAACCAGAGUUUAUCCCAGACUUCAUUUGGUGGAUCAACCUGAAGAUCCCUUGGGAGUGGCUCAGAGGCUGUAUUCAGAGUUUGUAGCCUUGCAUUGAACUGGCUAGUAGACUCCCAUUUCUGUUGUGUCAAAGGGAUUUCAGCAUUGUCAUCCUUGUCAGUAUCUGAACUGGUAUCAUCCUCAGUAUCAGAGUUUGCUUUUUCAUCUGCAGGAACAGGAUCUGCAACUUUCUCCACAUUAUCCUGAGCAGAUUUUCCUUUAUCUUCAGACUGUGACUUGAUGAGCUCUUCACCAGUCUGAGCCAGAGAUUGUAAAGCUUCCACAGCUACUUUGUCACUUUCCUCAACUGCAUCAGACUUGUAGUUCUCUGGAGCUGUAUCAUGAACAAUGGCAUCCUUAGGAAUUUUCAUUGGAGAUUGAGGAAUUUGACCAUGAUCAGAUAGUGGAGUUUGACAAUCAGACUGAGUUGCUCCAGCUUCAGCAGUAACUGGUUCAUCACACCUGAUCUCUUCAUCUACUGCAGAUGCUGUAGGAGAUGCUUUAGGAGAUGUUGUAGGAGAUAAUGGUGUGGCAUCAGUGAUAGGAACAGCUUGAAGAGGUUCCACCAUCAGAGCUUGAGAAGGAUCAACAGGAAUUGGGCUUGAUGGUGUUUGCUCUUCUUGGAUAGUGAAAUCAGUAAUUUCAGAUUCUGGAAUCUUGGCUCUCUUUGGCUUGUGUGCCCUUCUUUUGAAUCUAGCUGGUUUUUGUUGAGGACUAGACUGAGCAGGUUCAUUGGUUGUUGUAGGUGUAGGUUCAGAGUUUACAUCUUGUGCAGGUUCAAGAUCAUCAAAGUCAUAUGCUGCAACAAGCCUUCUUCUUUUCUUCUGCUUUGGAGGAGAAGCAGCUUCAGAGUUUACUGGGACAUCAGAGUUUGGAGAAUCAGAGUUUACUGGUAUAUCAGACUUUGUCUGUAGAACUUGUGUAUCGACAGAGGUUCUGGUUUUUGUUGUAGAGGGUUGGUCAUCAGACUUUAUUGAUUUGGAUGGUUUUGUAGUUGAUGAUCUGGGUUUUCUGGUGACUGUGGGAGAGGUAGGAUGUUGUGGUUGAGGUUGUUGAGGCUGUGGUUGUGGUUCCUGAGGAAGAUUCAGCCUUGCCCUGAAUGGAGCUGGGAUUUGCAGAGGCCUGAGAACUGGUCUCUUCUCAUCUUUAGAUAUGAGAUCCUUAAAAGCCCUUUUAUGAAGUUUAAAAGGCUUGAUCUCAUCUGCAGCAUCAAAAUCCACUUCUCCAACAGUGGCAUUAAACAACAAUUGACAAAAUCUUGAGAAAUAAAUGACUUUUCUGUUCUCAAGCAUUCUUUCACCAAUAUUUCUAAGAACUAAUCUACCAAAAUCAAAAGCAGUAGAAUAGAUCAGAGAAUACCCGAUUUGGAGCAUGUCCAUUGGAAUAGCAUCCCAGUUGGUAGAUUUCUUCUGGAAAGCUCUAGUAAUGCAAUCAAAGAAAAAGCUCCACUCCUUAUUGAGCCAUGGACGCUUCAACUGACCCAGUUUAUCCAGAGAUUCGUAGUACCCCAAAUCAAGCAUCAUUGUUCUGAGAUUUGCAUCUCCAUUUGUAAUGUAUGCAGGAUGUUCUGGCAAGUUGAGUGCCUGACGAACUGUUGCUGGAGUAACUGCAUACUCCUCCCCGUCAUAGGAAAACACAAUUGAUGGUGAUCCAUCUGCACCACCAUUGUCAUAUGUACCCGUCCUCCAAAAGCUGAUGAUUUGGCUUCCUGAAAGUCUUGCAGGAGCGGUGAGAGCUGUACCGAUGACACUCUGUGCCAAGAAUCGCUGAAAGGGAUGAUAAUCCCUUGGGGCUUCAGCAGUGUCAAGGAUGGCUGCAUAGUUAUUAGGAACGAAUUCAACACCUGCCAAGAUAAAAGCUGUAGUGGCCAUUAGAACAGAGAUUAUGAAAAGAAGAUGUUUGAGGAAGUGUGUAGACGAAGAUUUGAAUUUCAGAGAACAGAGUGUAAGAGUUUUGUUUAGAAGGUGAAUGUAGAGAGUAAGUGUAAAAUUGAAUAAUAAGCAAUAAAAUCUGAUCUGAAAAACUCUUCAGAUUUUGUUGAACUGAGUACGCAUGGGCUUUUUGUUCAAUUAGACACCUGUCAAAAUGUAACUGGUAGAUGAAUGUUAGUGGGAUAGAGAAACGAGAGUAAUCAUCAUGAGUGCAGUAAAACAUGCGCAGUAAUAAAUGCUGAUUACACGUUCUCCUAUUAAAAUGUUGUGCAUGUAAACCCACUAAUAAUACAUCCGUUUGAAACAUAUUCUCUUCACAUUCUCUGAAUAUUUGAAAUAAAAAUCAAGAUCAAAUCUCUCGAAUUUUAAACUCUGAGAUUUAAGUCAAAGAAAAUAAAUUUCUGCAAACCUCAGAAUAAAGACAUAAUUUUCAGAAUAUUCAUCAAUAAAUCAGAGUUUGUUCUAAAAUCCAUAGCUCAAUAAUGUGCCUGUGAAAUGUGUGUGUGGUCAUGUUAAAUCAGAGAAUAUAAAAUUUCACAAUUUCGUAAUUAUAAGGUAGACAAAAAUAAUUUAUGCAAACUCUCAAAAUUUAGACUGAGACAUACUCUGAUGAUUCAGAUAAAAUAAUAUAACCCCCUUUUUCUUUUUCUUUUUUUUUUUUUUUUUUUUUUUUUUUUUUUUUUUUUUUUUUUUUUUUUUUUUUUUUUUUUUUUUUUUUUUUUUUUUAAGGACGCUUCUCAGUGUAAGUGAGGCACGACCUUUAAAUAUACUAUUGCAUUAGUAUUUCUCCAGUAAUCAGAGAUUGUGACUGGUCACCAUAGAUUAUAAAAUCUUAGCAAUUACUUAAUACCAGCAAAUGUUUGGUUCUUCCCAGUCACUGUCAUAUUAACAUCUAAGAUCUCAAAGGAGUACCAUGCUUAUUUUUCAGGGGGUUUUGUCUCAGGUAAUAAAAACAUCAGAGUUUAUAAUCACUGUCUAGUAUAUGAGAGAAAAUUUAAAUUAAUCAGUCUCACUUAUAAUUAAGAUAUGUGAAGUAGUAGAGUCUCAAUGAUAUCAGCAUGCAUAGUGUGAACUAGUGUAGCACAAAAUUGAGAUCAGGAUUAAGGAACUUAGCUGAGAUUCAUGAUUACUCAUUCAGAACAUGCUUCAUGGUAUCUUCAUAGGUGAUUUGUCUCAGAGAAGAUAAAAAUGAGAUCAUUUAUCAAGAUUCAGAGUUUUAUAAGCAUCAGAGAAUAUUAUCAGAGAAUGUUAUCAGAGUAAAGCAAACAGAGUAUAUCAUCAGAGAAUGUCAUCAGAUUUUAUCAAUCAGAGUAUAUCAUGGCAGAUGUGUGAGUAAUACAUAUGGUAAAUUUGACAAUUUAAAUUUUAAAGAUCUAACCAAUAUGUUUACUCAGUUCCUGAUAUCAUUCCUAGCUCAUUCACCAGCCUAGUAAAAGUUGCUUCACUUAAUGGCUUGGUGAAAAUGUCUGCUAGCUGCUGUUCAGUAGGAACAAAGUGAAGUUCAAUGGUUCCUUCCUCCACAUGCUCCCUUAUAAAAUGAUAUCUUAUACUGAUGUGCUUUGUCAGAGAAUGUUGAACUGGAUUUCCUGUCAUAGCAAUAGCACUUUGGUUAUCACAAUAAAUAGGAAUUUUAGAGAAGGAUAACCCAUAGUCCAACAGUUGAUUCUUCAUCCAAAGAAUUUGAGCACAACAGCUGCCUGCAGCAAUAUACUCUGAUUCUGCUGUUGAUGUUGAGAUGGACUUCUGCUUCUUACUGUACCAAGAAACUAGUCUUCCACCCAGAAAUUGACAACUCCCACUUGUGCUUUUCCUGUCAAUUUUGCAACCUGCAAAAUCUGCAUCAGAGUAUCCAAUAAGACUAAAAUCUGAUUCUCUAGGAUACCAUAGUCCCAAUGAUGUGGUUCCCUUGAGAUAUCUGAAUAUCCUCUUUACUGCAAUCAGAUGAGGUUCUCUUGGAUCUGCCUGAAAUCUUGCACAUAGACAUGUGGCAUACAUAAUGUCUGGUCUACUUGCAGUCAGAUAAAGCAAUGAUCCAAUCAUUCCUCUAUAGUUUGUGAUAUCCACUGAUGCACCAGUAUCUUUGUCUAGUUUUGUUGCUGUUGCCAUAGGAGUAGUUGCAGCAGAACUGUCUUGCAUACCAAAUUUCUUUAAAAGAUUUCUGGUAUACUUGGCUUGAUUUAUAAAAAUCCCAUCUUCAGUCUGUUCAACUUGUAAACCCAGAAAAUAACUGAGUUCCCCCAUCAUGCUCAUUUGGUACCUAGACUGCAUGAGCUUGGCAAAUCUUUGACAGAGUUUAGCAUUAGUGGAGCCAAAAAUAAUGUCAUCAACAUAGAUUUGAACUAAAAGCAGAUCAUUACCAUGAUUCAAAUAAAACAGAGUUUUAUCUAUGGUACCUCUAGUAAAUCCACUUUCAAGAAGAAAUUGAGCUAGAGUUUCAUACCAUGCCCUUGGAGCCUGCUUUAGUCCAUAAAGUGCUUUGUCCAACCUGUAGACAUAGUCUGGAUGUUUUGGAUCCACAAAACCUGGAGGUUGUUCAACAUAUACCUCUUCAUCCAGUUUCCCAUUUAGAAAAGCACUUUUGACAUCCAUCUGAAAUACUUUGAAUUUCUUGUGUGCAGCAUAGGCCAGAAAGAUUCUAAUUGCCUCCAAUCUUGCAACUGGAGCAAAUGUCUCAUCAUAAUCAAUACCUUCCUGUUGUGAAUACCCUUUUGCCACAAGCCUUGCUUUAUUCCUUGUAAUGACACCCUCACUGUCAGUUUUGUUUCUGAACACCCAUUUUGCACCAACUAUGGAUCUGUCUUUAGGUCUUGGUACUAGGGUCCAGACUUUAUUUCUCUCAAAUUCAUUUAACUCUUCUUGCAUUGCUUGAAUCCAAUCAGGAUCUUGAAGAGCUUCCUCCACCUUUUUGGGUUCUGUUUGUGACAGAAAGCAAUGAUGUAAACAUUCAUUUGCUGUAGCUGUCCUUGUUUGCACACCUGCUUCUGGAUUGCCAAUUAUUAAAUCAGGUGUGUGAGAUUUUGUCCACUUCCUAGCAUGUGGAAGUUGACCAUUUUCAUCAUUGGAUCCUCCCCCUUGAUCCAUGCUCUCCUGAUUCUGUUGAUUAUUCUCUGUAGCUCCCCCUAAAUUUGUGCUAUCAGAGUUUGAAUCAGUAUUCUCUGAUGAGUUUGAGUCAGCAUUCUCUGAUGAGUCUUGGGUAGAGUCUGAAACAUUCUGAUGCUCCCCCUCAGCAAGUGCUUCAUCAUCAUGAACUUGUAAAUUUUCAUCAGAGUUUGCUGUAUCUUGUUCACAGUCAGAGUUUGACUGUUCAUCAGAGUUUAUCGAAUCAGAGAAUAUUUCUUCAUUUUCAAAAUGCAGUUUUUCAUGAUCAUCCAUAUCUGUUAAGCCCAUGAUUUUCUUGUCAUCAAAUGACACAUGUAUGGAUUCCAUGAUCACCUUGGUUCUUAGAUUGUAGACUCUGAAGGCCUUUGUUAUCAGAGGAUAACCUACAAAGAUGCCUUCAUCAGCUUUUAAAUCAAACUUGGUAAGCUGUUCUGGAUGAGUCUUCAAGACAAAGCAUUUGCACCCAAAUAUAUGAAAAUACUUCAGAUUUGGCUUCUUUUUCUUCACCAUCUCAUAUGGGGUCUUGCCAUGCUUAUUAAUCAAGGUUGCAUUUUGAGUGAAACAAGCUGUUUGAACAGCUUCUGCCCAGAAAUAAGUAGGCAAUUUAGCCUCAUCAAGCAUAGUUCUGGCAGCUUCUAUAAGAGUCCUGUUUUUCCUUUCAACUACACCAUUUUGCUGUGGUGUACCAGGUGCAGAGAAUUGUUGCACUACACCUCUUUCUUUGCAGAACUCUUCCAUUGUUGAAUUUCUGAACUCAGUUCCAUUAUCACUUCUAAUGAUCUUCACUUUGUCUUCAGAUCCAUGAUCCAGUUGUUUCACAUGAUCCAUCAGAUGCAAGGCUGUUUCAUCUUUAGAGUGAAGAAAAUAUACCCAAGUGUAUCUGGUAUACUCAUCAACAAUGACAAGAGCAUAUUUCUUCCUUGCAAUGGAUGGUACAUUAACUGGUCCAAAUAGAUCAACAUGUAGAAGAUGAUAUGGUUUCUUUAUUGAGAAUUCAGUCUUACUCUUGAAGGAUGUCUUUCUCUGCUUGGCCUUUUGACAUGAAUCACAUAAUCCAUCAGAUGUGAGUAGUGAUUCAGGGAGUCCUCUCACAAGCUUUUUCUUUAUAAGCUCAUUUAUAGAGUUGAAAUUCAGAUGUGAGAGCUUCUUAUGCCACUUCCAACUUUCUUCUGCAGAGAUCCUUGUAGACAAGCAGAUUGCUUUUCCUUCAGAGUUUGUAGGCAAGUGGAUUUCAUAAAUAUUCCCAUGUCUGUGAGCAAUCACUGCCACUUUGCCUGUUGACUUGCUUACUAUCUCACUGUGUUCUUCAUAGAAAUCAACAUGAUAUCCUCUGUCACAGAUUUGACUGACAGAGAGUAAAUUGUGUUUUAGCCCUUGAACAAGAGCUACAUUUGAUAUGAUGACAUUUCCAAGAUUGAUGUUGCCAUAUCCCAGAGUCCUUCCUAUGUUGCCAUCUCCAUAAGAAACACUUGGGCCAGCCUUCUCCACAAACUCUGACAGCAGGGCCUUAUUUCCAGUCAUGUGUCCUGAACAUCCACUGUCCAAGACUAGAAUAUUCUUCCUGUUGCCCUGCAAUCACAAAGACCACUAAUUGUUAGUUUUAAGGACCCAGACUUGCUUGGAUCCCUUGGCCUUAUUAAGUUUGUUAGCUUUUGCAGCGGAAUUAUUAUUAUCAGAGUUUGAGCUAACAGACUUUGGAACAGAGUUUGUACUAGAAACAGAUUUUGUACUUGCAGAGUUUUUAUUAACCUUUUUCAAAGAAGGUUUCAAUUGAUAAUAAUCAUAAUACAAACUAUGAUAUUCUUUGCAAGUAUAAAUAGAAUGCCAUAAACUACCACAAUGAAAACAUGGAUCUUGUGGUUUAUAUCUAAUACUACUUUUUCUAACUCCAGACUUUGUAGGUAAGGAGUUAAUGUCCUUGUUCUUCCUGCAAAAAUUAGCAAGAUGAUUAGUAUUUCCACAGUUAUGGCAUGUCUUCCUAGGUGCAUUUGGAAUAGGCAUGUAGUUAUUACUCUUGUCUAUUCCAAUCUUGCCAUUUCUAUUUUUCCUAGGCUCCUUGUUUUUGUCAUCAGACUUUACCUCUUUAAGCUUAUGUUUAAGCUGUUUCUGAGUCAUCAGUCCUAUGUUAACCUGUUUGGGCUUAUCAGAUUUUAAAUUGUUGUUAAUCUCUGAUUUUGGUCUACUCUGUUUAGACUUAGAGGAUUCAGCAACAAAUUUAACAGGUUUAACCUUAGGUUUUUGAGUUUUAACAAACUCUGUUUUUGAUGACUCAGCUUCUGAGUUAUCAGUGUAACCUAGUCCCUUCUUCCAGUUUCCACUACCUAAGAUAUCCUGAGUAGUUUUGCCUGAAUUAGUCCAUGUCUUAAUAAUAUCCCUUUCCUUAGCAAGUUCUGAUUGAAGAGAUGCAUACCUCUUUAAUAAUUCAUCUUUGACAAUGACAGCAUCAUCUCUUUCUUUCUGAACUUCCAACAUCUGAACUAAUUCUUUUUCUAGAUAAUCAUUCCUUUUCUUUACACUUAGAGUUUCAGAUUUUAAUCUUUCAUUUUCUAAAGUCUGAUCUCUAAAGCUGAUAUGCAAAGUUUUAAGAAACAAUCUUAACUCAGUUAUAUCUUCAGUAUCAAAGGCAAGAGUAGAAUGAGGUACCUUAGCAGUAGAUUCAGAGUUGUUGUCAGUGUUUGCCAUCAGAGCAUAAUUGACUUCUUCUUCUGAAUCAGAUGUAUCUGUCCAGUUUCCUUUCUUGGUGAUAAAGGCUUUUUCUUUUUCCUUCUUGGCUUUCUUGCAUUCAGAUGCAAAGUGACCCUUUUCACCACAGUUGAAACAGGUAUACUUGUCAGCUUUUCCAGCUUUCCCUUCCUUGCCCUCAUUCUUCUUGAAGUUCUUCUUAUCAUAAACUCUGUCAGAGUUUCUGUCUUUCCUUGAAAAACUUUUGCCUUUGUUGAACUUUUUGUAGGCCAACUUCUUGAAGCUUUUCACCAUCAAUGCUGCUAACUGCAUCAUCUCAUCAUCACUUUCUUCAGAGUCUGAGGGAACAUCAGAGUUUGAGUCAUCAGAGUUUGAUGACUCAAUGUCAGACUUUGUGACAUGAGCUUUUCCUUUGCUCUUAGCAGCUUCCUCUUGAACUUUCAGAGCAACAGACUUUGAUUUUCCUCCAUGACGUUUGCUCCUUUGCUCCAUUUCAAGUUCAUGAGUCUUCAGUCUUCCAUAAACAUCAUCAAGAGACAUUUCUCCAAGAUCAAGAUUGUCUCUUAUUGUGGUGACUUUCAAAUCCCAUUUUUCAGGAAGAGCCAGAAGGAAUUUGAGGUUUGAGUCUUCAAGAUCAUAUUCCUUGUUCACCAGAGAUAAGUCAUUCAACAGUUUGACAAAUCUGUCAUACAGAUCUGUCAAGGACUCACCAGAUUUUGAGUCAAAGUGCUCAUACUCCUGUGUAAGGAUUGUUUUUCUGUUUUUCUUUAUGGCCUGAGUUCCCUGACAUCUGGUUUCCAGAGCAUCCCAGAUUUGUUUAGCAGUUUUGCACCCAAUCACCCUAUUAGACAUUGCAUUAUCAAGGGCACUGUGCAGAAGGUGUUUCACCUUAGAGUCUUUACCAAUUGACAAGAUGUCCUCAGGGGUAUAAUCUUUCUUUUCUUUUGGAACCAUCUUCUGAGGUUCAUCUGCAAGCCCAACAGAGAGCUUGGUGGGCAUAUGUGGUCCAUCAUAGAUCCUGUCAAGGUAUUCUGGAUCAACAGAGUCUAAGAAUAUGAUCAUUCUCUCUUUCCAGACUGGAUAUUCAGAUGCCUUAAGGAUUGGAACUCUAAAGGAUGAAGCUUGUGAUUUUUCAGACAUGAUUGUGAUUAAGAUCUCACUGUAGUAAUCUUAACAGAGCUGGCUCUGAUACCACUUGUUAGGUCCUAUAAACUCACUAUAUAAUAUGAUAUAGUGAUCACAAUCUGUAACACAGUAAGACAAUAUAAGAGAUUGAAAGCAAUAAACUCUUAUAUUCACAAAGCUUUAAUGGUUACAAAAACUCUCUCAGUGAUUUAUAUUGUAUCACUAAGAGCUGCUAGGGUUCUUAACAAUGUACUCGAUAACUCAACUCAUAUAGAGUAACCCUAAUCUGUGUUUAUAUAGACACAGUUACAAAAUCAAUCUCUGAUUUGAUAUCCUAUAAAUCAGCUAUGAAUUCUAUCAAUCAAAGAUUGCUCCAGUUUUCUGUUUAGUUUCCAUAGUCAGCAAAUCACUCCUCCGCUUCUAUCCUUCCUUGAAGUAUAUCCGCUUCUGAGCUCUUUCCACGUGUAAACUCUGACGAGUCUUGACUAUGUAAACUCUGAUCAGACUUUAUCAAACUCUGGUCAGACUUUACUAAACUCUGAUCAGCUUCAAGCUUAAACUCUGAUCACUCCUGUUCUAAAACAAACUUUAAGAACAUUAGUAAUCAUCAAUUAUAUCUAACAAUCUCCCCCAACUUGUGCAUAAAUAUGUUAUGUGCAAGUUAACAGAUAAUUGAUGAUGUCAAAACAGAUAAGUCAAAUGCAACAGAGUUUAACUAUAUAACAGAAAACUUUUAAAACUUACAGAUACUUUACUCCUUAGCUUCAUAGACACCAUUUGCUGUCUUUAGAUAUCCUCUGAGGAGUUCUCUUUCAGCUUCUUCAAGUACUGUAAUCAUCUGUCUCUUGAUCUCUCUCAGCUCUGGAUCUGAAACUCCAGUUUGAUAAAUUGCAGCUCUGAGAUCAUAGAUCUUGUUCUUCUUCAAGUCCCUAUCCAGCCUGAUAUUGUAAGCUUUAUCAGACUCUUCAUUAAAUGCAAGAGUUCUGAUUCCACCUAUUGUUUCAAUCUUUGCUGAAUUUUUCUUCAUCUCCACCAGCUGUCCUUUAUGAUUGAGGUAUUUAGGAAUGAAAGGUCCAGCAUUUUUGUUUCCUGUAAUCCCCAUCUUUCUUCUGAUUUGAUCUUUUAGCAGGUUGGAGAUGUGUUGUCCUGACUUGUUCUUUACUUGAAAUAUGUAUGAUACAUAUCUCAAUUCUUCCCAGUGUUUAGCAUAUAGAUCUGCUUCAAGUACUCUAAACACUGUUCCAUCAGACAUGAAGUAGAUAAGGAUAUUAUCUCCUCUGUCAUUCUUUACCAACUGGACUGAAUCAAGUUUGUCCAUUCUGUCUUGCAAUACUCCAGUCUUGGGAGCACAGAGAGAUGAGGGGUCAUCUGGUCUUGAUCCUAUACUCUGAUCAAAUUUUUCAUAUUUGGAUCCCAGCCCUCCUUUAUCUCUUCCUGCCUUUUGAUGAGAAAAUGGUUUAAUUGAGCCUUUUUCAAAACUUAUUUCAGUCAUCAGAGUAGGCUUUGCAAAUCCAGCCAGUGGAGUAGUUGUUGGUUUGAACACAGCUUGAGCUUUGUCAGAGACUGUGUCUUUCUUUGCUUCCUUAUUGACUUGAGCUGUGUCAGAGGUCAAUCUUUCUUUUUGAGGUUCUGCAACAUGAGCUUUGUCAGAGAUUGCAGCUUCUGUUUUCUUUUCC
rnacentral:lncRNA from 1 species